UUUAUUCGAUCAGUAAAAUUAUGAACAAUUUUGCCAGACAGCUGAUCGCUGUAUCCGCUUAAGUUGUGGUUAAUUGUGGUUUACUCUUAUUUACUUAAGAUUUAAUAAUAUUAUUAAAAUUCCCCAUCACAAUUUGACUAUAAAUAAGCCAGCAGACUUUCCUCAAUGGCUUCAUAACAAUUGCUAUCUGGAAGACGUAUAGCAAGUGAUAAAAGGACCACGUCCCCUAAAUAUAAUUGAGUAAUUGCAGUCACACAUAAGACCGGACGCCAUUUCCUUCAUUCCACAGUCAUUAGGCCAUAUUCCGGCACCUCGAAAUCCCGCCCAGACCUUAGUAGUUAGCAUCUCAGCGAGCGGGGAAAGUAACCAAACCAAUUGGGUGUGACCAGCAGGUGACCAUGCCCGUUUAACUAACCACUUGCAUGUUGUCCUUUGUUGGGGGAGGACUGUCCUGGCCCCGCGGUUCCCCGCAGUUGCGCCCCCGAUCCUUGCGGUAUGUAAAGUGAGUGGGUCUUUAUCCUGAGGCAUGCGGCACCGCACCCAGUUUCUUGGACUCGAGUCGAGUUUGUUGUCAUUUUCGCAUUCAUAUCCACAAUGAAACAGGGACGGAUUUUUACAAUGGAGGUUGAGUUUGUAAAUAGUAUUUUAUACGGAUAUGUAGGAACUAUAAUAGUACACUACCUAAACUAUAAAAUCAAAUUUACUAUGAAAAUUGGGAAAUGGUUUCAUCGUUUUUUCUAAUAUACUUCCUUUAUAACAUGAUAUUCUAUGUUGUUAAGAAUUAACCAUUAAAUGAUUCUCAACUAAUGUUGCUGAGCACUAAGGUUUUCCAGAUUCCUCCAUCGGCAGCAAUCCCGCCCUGUGUAUAGUAAAAUAUCUAUCAUUGCCUUUUCUAGUUUCAGGCUUCAUUUGUCCACGGGAGGGGAUGGCUCCUUUGUUUGUUAUUUUACAAGUUAGCCAUUUUGCCGCCACAUGGCUACACCCCGCGAAUUAUUUUUCCAGAAGGAAGGGAGUGUGUCGGGCCGCGCCUCCCUUACCAACUUAUUUGGUGGGCCAGGCCAGUUCGGACCAGUUCCUGGGCCAGCAGUAGGAGCUGGAUUGGCCAGGCAGCCGGACGUGUUUCGGGAGCAACUCCGCGGUUCCAGCACCUGACAGAGCUCACAAAUCAAGCGGAAAAUGGAUGACGAUUCGGAUAUCUUCGAUGAAAUGUGGCUGGAAAGUGUGGUCAUAGCGGGCUUCCGAGUGUGGCACAUUAUCGCCGCCGUGCUGGGUGUCCUCCUCCUAAUAAGUGAGUACAUCAUAGCUGAAGCUUCGGUCUGGACCCAGUUUAAUCGAAUCCCUGGCGCAGUGAUUAUGGUAUGCUGCUGCAUUCGCUUCCGUAUUCCGCGCACCAAGCAGGAAAUCGAGGCGGACUACCAGCGCAAGCAGAUCACAAAGAAGUUCCGCGAGAAGCUGCAGCAGAUCAAGAACUCCGAAAUGGACGACAUGGACCUGCAGAAGGCACUUGCUUAUAUCAAAUUGGAACAGUACGAUGAUCCCUAGGGGCUCUGUAAAUUCACCCGCACCCUGUACAAACUAUCGGAAGUACUUAAGCAGAAAACUCUCUAUCGCAAUGAACACUGCCACUUUUACCCAACCCUUUCUUUCAGUGUGUGCCCGCAUCCAGAGCGACUAUCUCAACUUCCAGGUCAGCAUGGAGAGCAUGAACGCGAAGCAGAAUGUUAAG
rnacentral:misc_RNA from 1 species